UACGGAGGGGGCUAGCGUUGUUCGGAAUUACUGGGCGUAAAGGGCGCGCAGGCGGCUGCUCAAGUCAGGCGUGAAAGGCCUGGGCUCAACCCGGGAAUUGCGCUUGAGACUGGGCUGGCUUGAGUGCGGGAGAGGAUGGUGGAAUUCCCAGUGUAGAGGUGAAAUUCGUAGAUAUUGGGAAGAACACCGGUGGCGAAGGCGGCCAUCUGGACCGCAACUGACGCUGAUCCGCGAAAGCUAGGGGAGCAAACGGG
rnacentral:rRNA from 1 species